CUCGUUUUGUCUUGUCAGAAAUAAAAUGUUUGUGCCUUUCCUUGUCAUGAACUCUGUGUUUGUCACUUUGACACAUGGCUGUGUUUCCACUUUGUGUGAGCAUAAGCACUGUGCAGUUUUACUGUUUUCCAGUUUGUGUGCCAACCAUUCCUAGCAGCCCUCUGAGGUAUCUCAGGUGAGAGCCACAGGGUGGAACCAGAAAGUACCCCAUCUCGAAGUGUGCCUCUGGGACAGCGUUAUUAGCUAGUCCCUGAGGCCCCAGCACAGGAAAUACUGCAGUGUUCCUUCCUGCAGGCCAUGGAGCCCUGACCCAGGCCAGUCCUGGGCAGUGCUUAGGUGGCUGUUAGCAUAUAACAGGUGAAGUAAGGAUUUGGUGAAGAGCGGUG
rnacentral:lncRNA from 1 species